rnacentral:rRNA from 1 species
GACGAACGCUGGCGGCGUGCUUAACACAUGCAAGUCGAACGGAAAGGCCCUGCUUUUGUGGUGUGCUCGAGUGGCGAACGGGUGAGUAACACGUGAGUAACCUGCCCUUGACUUUGGGAUAACUUCAGGAAACUGGGGCUAAUACCGGAUAGGAGCUCCUGCUGCAUGGUGGGGGUUGGAAAGUUUCGGCGGUUGGGGAUGGACUCGCGGCUUAUCAGCUUGUUGGUGGGGUAGUGGCUUACCAAGGCUUUGACGGGUAGCCGGCCUGAGAGGGUGACCGGCCACAUUGGGACUGAGAUACGGCCCAGACUCCUACGGGAGGCAGCAGUGGGGAAUAUUGCACAAUGGGCGGAAGCCUGAUGCAGCAACGCCGCGUGAGGGAUGACGGCCUUAGGGUUGUAAACCGCUUUCGCCUGUGACGAAGCGUGAGUGACGGUAAUGGGUAAAGAAGCACCGGCUAACUACGUG